rnacentral:lncRNA from 1 species
UGUGAAUAGGUCGAGUGCUGCAGUCGACACACGAGUUAUUAGUAGACAUAGCCUUUGAUAACUGUAAGCCGUCGUGAGCACGCCGAAGAAAAGUUGAACGCUAACUAGGUGUCACGCCGAGAUUGUCCAUUCAAUCGACCGCAGCAUAGCGACCAAAAUCUGGUGGUUUUCUGCAAAGACAAAUUUAUUUAGGCUACUCUUCCUCCCAAGAAUUUAAAUAAAGUUAGACCUUUUGCACGUGUUCAACCUUGGAAAAGGUUGUAAUUUAUGCAAAGGUCACUGAUCUUAGAAAAUGCUAUUCACUUGCUCACCCAUCCCCCCUAAACAUUUAGAAUCUUAUGCAAAUGACAGCAGCAAAAUUGAAAACAGUGGCAGCUUAUUGUUUACCCUCCCUUUGUCUGGCAACUGAAAAUACCAAAUGAUUCGACAUAAAUGCCUAUUAGUUUCCAAGGCCAUUGUUUUGUAUGGCCUUGUAUGGCCUAAUGACAACCACCAAUAGCAUUGAAACACGUGAGAAAACAGGUCAAUGUACGACAGCUUGCAACGUCACCACCAGAAAAACAAAUGGCUGAACAUAAAACUGGAAAUAGUUUUUCCACCGCGUGCGUGCAAAAUAGAUCCCAUCCAUAUAUUUUUCUAACCGUUUUUCAAGUGAACGAGCCUAUCGCUGUGAAUUACAUUUUCGUGGGACAUCGCGAAAAGAAUAACGAUCUUUGGCAAUUGGAGAACGUGAUUAAAUUUAUUGAUCGUGUUACAUCGUAUACAGGCCGUCAUGAAAUGAAAUUAGUGGCAUGCUAAUAACAAUUAGUCUUCCCUGCUGGAACGAGUCCUGAUGGAAUAAUAAACAUUGACUUUAUGCAA